ensembl:lncRNA
GUUUGUGUUAGGUGAGUCUUCUGAUCUUUACACUUAUACAGUCCAUAUCCAAUCAGAAUAGAUUGUUUACGUUAUUAAUACACUUUCCUGCCCUUAUUGUGAAUGUUUCAUUGGUGCAUGGAAUAAAAAAACCUUCAUAAUCUUCAUGAUUUUCUUUUUCAGAUGACGUCACAAUCUGACUCCGUUUUGAUCUCUCUGCCAAUGGUAAAUUACUCCAUCUGCAUGUUUCUAUAGCAACAUGAUGACUUGAACAUCUAAAAUGGAACAAUGUUUUGGAACAAUAUUCUUCAUGUGCAUUCUUUUAGUGUGCAAAAAGUGGAGGCAGCACCAUCUCUAGAAAAGAUCAGUAGCUUGUCAAAAAAUCUUGAAGUCUUAGAUCUCAUCCUGAAGUUCAGAUGCGGUAAGCCUUGGUCUUUUUCAGCCAGGAAAACACUGAUACCAUCGUAGCAUCCAACAAACCUCUCCAGAAUAUGUGGCGUCUGUCGGUGUGUGAGAGCAGAUUAUUUGAAGGUUUUCAGCACAUAGCCAUGAGUUCAUAAAGAGCUCAAUCUGACAUUUCAGCACAGACAUUUUUCAUUGUAUUAUGCAGUAGUUUCAUGAGCAACUUUUUCCUCAAUUAACUCGACAGCUCCUCUGUUUGAAGGCCGUGGCGGGAGCUCCCGCACAAAUCUGCCCAUCGCUCCUUACACUGCUCAAACUCUUCAGAUGAAUGAUGUAGAUGCUCCGGAGAGGCUGGAGGGAAACAUCUCCAUCAUCUUUGCUUUGUUUUGGUUUCAGUUCAGCCGCAGAUGUUCAGUGCAUGGAAAUCUCUAGAGAAGACAUCACUUAUUACAGAAGACGCCAUGUUCUUUUAAAUGUGUUUAUUGUCAUCCUUCUGGCUACAGGUUUAACAUGGAUUUAAUUAUUCAUAUUUUUUUGUAUUAUUGUGCUAAAUCAUGAAAAGACCAGCAUUGUUUGAUAAAAGACAUCUUGGGGGUUUAUUGGUAACAUAUUACAAUACUUUCAUUUGUUAAGAUCAUUUAACCACAGUUAAAAAUUAUUCUAAAUCAUUGUCAAAAGUUGUAUCUGUUGAUAUUAUUUAAUGGGCCUGAG